rnacentral:rRNA from 1 species
UUCCUUUUAGUGGAGAAUAGCCCAGGGAAACUUGGAUUAAUACUCCGUAACAUAUAGAAGUGGCAUCACUUUUAUAUUAUAGCAGCAAUGCGCUAGAAGAUGGGUGUGCGGCUGAUUAGAUAGUUGGCGGGGUAACGGCCCACCAAGUCGACGAUCAGUAACUGGUGUGAGAGCACGACCAGUCACACGGGCACUGAGACACGGGCCCGACUCCUACGGGAGGCAGCAGUAAGGAAUAUUGGUCAAUGGACGCAAGUCUGAACCAGCCAUGCCGCGUGGAGGAUGAAGGUCCUCUGGAUUGUAAACUUCUUUUAUCUGGGAAGAAAUCCAUUUUUUCUAAAAUGGUUGACGGUACCAGAUGAAUACGCACCGGCUAACUCCGUGCCAGCAGCCGCGGUAAUACGGAGGGUGCAAGCGUAAUCCGGAUUCACUGGGUUUAAAGGGUGCGUAGGUGGGCAAGUAAGUCAGUGGUGAAAUCUCCGGGCUUCACCCGGAAACUGCCAUUGAUACU